UUUGGGGGUAUGGCCUACAAGGCUUCGACGGGUAGCCGGCCUGAGAGGGCGACCGGCCACACUGGGACUGAGACACGGCCCAGACUCCUACGGGAGGCAGCAGUGGGGAAUAUUGCACAAUGGGCGAAAGCCUGAUGCAGCGACGCCGCGUGAGGGAUGACGGCCUUCGGGUUGUAAACCUCUUUCAGCAGGGACGAAGCGAAAGUGACGGUACCUGCAGAAGAAGCACCGGCCAACUACGUGCCACCAGCCGCGGCCG
rnacentral:rRNA from 1 species